UACGUAGGGCGCAAGCGUUGUCCGGAAUUAUUGGGCGUAAAGAGCUCGUAGGCGGCUUGUCACGUCGGGUGUGAAAGCCCGGGGCUUAACCCCGGGUCUGCAUUCGAUACGGGCUAGCUAGAGUGUGGUAGGGGAGAUCGGAAUUCCCAGUGUAGCGGUGAAAUGCGUAGAUACUGGGAGGAACACCGGUGGCGAAGGCGGCUACCUGGACCGGUUCUGACGCUGAUGCGCGAAAGCGUGGGUAGCAAACAGG
rnacentral:rRNA from 1 species